CCAUUUGGGCAGAGGGAUCCUCCUCCGAUCGUCUCCGCUUCUUUUGUUAGGUUAAGCUCCUUUCUGUUUAGCUGCUUCUGGAAAAAGAGCAAGAAGAAGCCUGUGGAACAUCUUGAGAAGCAUUGAACCAGCGUGGAGGAAACGUCUGAGGAUCCCAAACGAGGAAAAGGGAGACUGCUGUAAAGAUUUGCUCUCUGGAGCUGUUCAUGGAUUUGCUUUCCAAACAAGACUCUUCUGUGCCACAAACUCCUAUGAGAGAGCUGUGACCUGAGGGGUUUGUCCAAAUUAGCUCAAACCUCUUCAGGUGAAGCACCAAAAUAGUGAACUCUGCCCUACUCCACUGUGGUUAUUUUGAGUAUUGUCAAAGUGGCUUUCCAGGAGCCUCCAAAGUAGGCUGACUUUCUCCAGUCCAGCCUGUGAUUGAGCUCCGAGCUCCCUGAAACCAACACCCAGUGUCGCACUUAACAAUUGCACUGCAGUCAGCUCUGCAAAGCUCUCCUUUUGAUCCCAGAUGGUCUGCUUAAUUGCAAUCAGUUUCCACGAGUCAAUAAUACUGACAUAGGCAUGACCAUCAACGUGGAGAGCCAAGUUCAAAAUGCUUGUUUUUUUAGGUGUUAAUGCCCUAAAGCACAACUUACUCCACCUUAUUACUCCCUUGCUAAAAGGAAUCUUCAUGGAGAUGAAGACUUCCUAACUGCUAUAAUGUAGCACAUGUUUGCUGCUUCAGCCGUGGAGCUCCCAACAGCUCCCAGAACGUACAGCAGCACUUAAGUCACAAAUUAA